ACUCAAAUGAAUAGACGGGGGCCCGCACAAGCGGCGGAGCAUGCGGAUUAAUUCGAUGCAACGCGAAGAACCUUACCUGGGUUUGACAUGGCCGCUGUUCCUGCAGAGAUGUGGGGUCCUUCGGGGGCGGUCACAGGUGGUGCAUGGCUGUCGUCAGCUCGUGUCGUGAGAUGUUGGGUUAAGUCCCGCAACGAGCGCAACCCUCGUUCGAUGUUGCCAGCGGUUUGGCCGGGGACUCAUCGAAGACUGCCGGGGUCAACUCGGAGGAAGGUGGGGAUGACGUCAAGUCAUCAUGCCCCUUAUGUCCAGGGCUUCACGCAUGCUACAAUGGCCGGUACAAAGGGCUGCGAUGCCGUGAGGUGGAGCGAAUCCCAAAAAGCCGGUCUCAGUUCGGAUCGGGGUCUGCAACUCGACCCCGUGAAGUCGGAGUCGCUAGUAAUCGCAGAUCAGCUACGCUGCGGUGAAUACGUUCCCGGGCCUUGUACACACCGCCCGU
rnacentral:rRNA from 1 species